AGGAAAUGCUGUUCAAAUUUGUACUUGGUUUUGGUUGUGGCUAGAAGGGAUUAAGCUCCGACCGGAAACUGACAAUGAAAUUUAAUUUUCUACCUAUUAGAUUGUGUUUUAUUAACGUCUACACCUGCCCAAACCCUAAACCUACCCCUAAAAAUAGUAAUUAUUGUUUUUAAAAAUUACGCUGUAUUGAUGUGCGCAUGCCCAGUAGUGCCAUAUGUAUCCCUUCUAGCCUUAACCCUUGGUUUUUUCUGCACCAGUUUUGUUGAAAAGAUUCAGCUGAGUUUCCUCUCAGAGGCUUUCGACUGGCUGAACACAUUUGUUUAUCUUCGCGCCGUACAGAUGGAGGGUCUCUUCCGACGAUGUCACGUCUGGGCUCAGACACGCACGCUCAGAAGGACAGUGGGCUGUCCGGUGUAGCAUCAUUAGCUCAGCAGAGACGUGGCGGCCCUGACACAUGUCGAGCGGCAUGCAGCCAACCCACGGACGAGCA
rnacentral:lncRNA from 1 species